rnacentral:sRNA from 1 species
GCAGGUCCGGGUCUCACGCAGUGAGACAACGGAGCCGCUUGCGGCGACGGCCCGAAGGGCGAGCGAAGCGAGUCAUCCUGCACGACCCACCA